ensembl:snRNA
GUGUGUAUGAAAGCAGAGGUUAGCACUCCCCCUUGACAAGGAUGGAAGAGGCCCUUGGGCCUGACCACACACAUACAGUUAAGGCAUUGCCACCUACUUCAUGGCAUCUAACCACUGUUUUAG